UAUAGAGCAAAAACGGUGUGCUAGCUGCGUGGGAACCAACAAGAUCAUCAAAAUGGUUGGAGAUUCUUUAUUGACAUUGUCAUUGAGAACAAGUACGUUGUGUGGAGAUGCCCUACGCUUCUAGCAACUCGUCGUAACCCCGAGACUUCCUCAUGCUAGGGUUGCAGCCCACAAACCCUAAUCUCGGACGAUCUGAAACAAGAUGUUACAAUUCUCCCCCACUUGAAUUAGAUUUCGCCCUCAAAAUCGCUCCUUAUCAACACAUAGAUUGAACUCGAUAACCCGAGAAGCACCACCGAAAGGGCCCCAUAUCAUACAACAAUCUCUUCCAAAGACACCUGAUCCCAACAGGAACUUCCGACCCUGAGGAAGGACAGACCUAUCUGUCGUUGCGGUACUCGAUCUGACUCUCCCGAACUUGAAAACUCUAGUGGGUACUACGGCUCCCUGCAGUGAAUAUUAACCAAUGAGUACUACGACUCCCCGCAGUAUCACAACACUCUCUCGCUAACCAAUGGAUACUACGGUUCCCCACAAUAUCACAACACUCUCUUGUUGACUAGUGAGUACUACGGCUCCCCGCAGUAUUACGACACUCUCUCAAUGACUAGCGAAUACUACAGCUCCCCGUAGUACCACGAUACCCUUUCGCACUGACUCAUGAAUGCUACGGCUCCCCGUAGUCUUACAACACUCUCUCGUUCACUGACUCACCAUGGGCUCACUCCAUGGUUUCUACUGAUAAUCCCAAGCGAUUACUCCCACCCGAAUCCAUUUGCUCUCUUAUCACCCCAUAAUCUCAUCAUCAAGGCAUCACUACACUGAGUUCACCAACUCAUGUUCCGCAGCUCAACCUAGAUAGGUGCUUACACCCACCCAGCUUAUGCACCACCACUCCAUGAUGAGGAAAGGCACUUUUCUCAGCACACAGAUACACCCUUAGAUAGUCCCACUCAGGCAACACUUAACUGAUGGGUUCCUACUGAAACAAAAUCUCUCGGUACUCUACUCGCCAUCUCACACUUGAGUCUCAACAUGGCCAAAAAAUAGGACAUCAUACAUGGGUACCUCGGUACACCAUCACAGCAUCUCACGUUGUCUUGCCUCAACCACUGAUCUUCCACUUAUGCAACUCGAAACCUCGAAAUACUCCCAUCUCCCAAAUAGAAAUACGAAGGAAUCGUCAACGACUGAAUACACGUUGACGAAAAUUCGAAGCUCCAUCCUCUACUGAUCACCACCCAUAGGAAACUACUCAUACCGACUCAGAAAUUGGUUGACAAAUCAACUGUUGGCCCUUCUGGAGUAUAGAUCACAAUCUGUACCUAUACCCGCAAAUCUCAGCUAUUGCACCCGAAAAAAAUUUGGAGUAUAGAUCACCUCGAACUCAACAUUUGAAAACCCGAAAAAAAAUCCCUAGCCCCAAAAAAUUCUCUGACCAACGGCCACCCACUGUGGAUCCACUCAUCCUUUCUUAAGCAUAUAAUCAUACAUCUGUUGGAUUAAUGUCUAAGUCCAUAACUAUAAUUGGUAAGACUUGACCCGACCCGGCAUGGUCCAUUUGGGUUGCAUGGCAUCAUGCACUUGGAUAGACUAUAAUGAGAGAAAUAAGACACUUAUGGUUAUUAAUAUAUUAUAAGUUCUAGUAUAUUAAUAAUAAGAAUAAUAAGAUUAUUUAAUUAGUAUUGAUCAAGAAUUAAUCUAGGAUUAAUUAAGUGAUCAAAAGAAGACUAAUUAAAUAUAUGGGUUGAUUGUGUAAAUCAUCCAUACUUAUAUAGUGGGCUAAUGCUCCAUGGAUAAUCAAGUUGGGCUAAAACCCAUAGGAUGGUCCAUGGGUGCUCCAUGGUGUAUUUGAACCCAUGGAUCCAAGGAAAUGGAAAGUCAUGACAAUUAGGGUUUACCCUAAUUGUAACACUAUAUAAAGAUCUUAUUCUUGACAAAAUCGGUCACUAGUAUGUGAUAUAGAAGGGCUAGCCGAUUUCAUGAAGUGUAGAUUUCUCUCAAGUUAUUCCAAGUGUAUUUGGUGUUGUGUGAACCAUUUGAGGUGUCACACUUGGGGCACUAGGCACUCAAGCUUCAUGAAGACAUUCUACAUCAAAGAGGUAUGUAUUCUAUCUUGUUAUAUUCAUUGUUGUGUGUGCUAGAUUAGGAUAAUACCUUGGAUGUUCAUAUUUGUAUGUAUAAUAGAGAAAACAUAGAUCCAAGGUAUUUAGGGUUGCAUUUACACUUAGGAGUGUUAGAAUGCUCUAAACCCAACAACAUCAUCCCGCCUUACACCUUGGUUCAUCCACCAAUAACCCAGGUCUCAAGUGUCCGCACCGCAGAUCUCCAUAACCAGUUCCCUAACCACACUUGAACGAAUCGCUAAUCCUCGCAAUAGAAUACCCAGCUCUCCCCCACUCAAGAUUCGAACCAUCACCAAUUGGCAUACCAACAAUCUACUUCACAGACUGUUUCACUAGUUACACCACACUUGACUUUUGGAAAGUACCACAAAAUCACUCAAUGAUAUUCCCAAUGGAAACCAAGCAACUCCAAAUAUCCCGUAACUCAGACAAAAUCUCGAAAUCCUCCCAAUGUGACUGCCUCUAAUCAUCUCGAAGCCUUAGACCGACACACCGCCGGAUACCCCAACUGUUCCGAAAUAGCCCUGACCCUCGGUCCGGGAAUAAUGCAUUAUCUCCUCUGAUCCUUCGACCAGCCUCCCAACGCAGGAAUCAUCUUAAAAGCAAGAGACCUCACUCUCACAGUAGAUUCACGACAUAGACAAUGAGGGCCACCGCCCCGAUAUACUCCUAUUGAUCACCUGGAACUGCUGCUAAAAGUAUGCCUCCCUCAAUAAGGCACCUCCUUGUUCUCUUCCAUCUUAGUCCCAUAAUGACUCUCUCAUGGUAUAAGAAAUACGUCGCAACAAACAUACUGCCCAAAAUACUCUGGUGAAAAGUGAUGGGUUUUGGUCCUAAGAACAUCCUAUGUGCUCAUACAAACCCUAAUGCUUGGAUCUAGGUUUCUGUAUUGUACAUGCUUUGAAUCCAAGACUAUAAACCCUAAUUCUAGCAUACAAGUAAUCAUAUUAGAUAUUAGAAUAGGUUUAUAAUGUUACCUUGAUUGUUAUGUAGCAAUAACAAUCCCAAUUCCUCCUUAAAUUGACUUUGGAAGGCUUAGAGUCACAAGUGUCACUCCUCUAAUGGUUCACAAACACCAUAAGCAAGAGGAUGAAGAGGAGAGAGGAUGGAGUUUGCCCAAAACCAUCAACAAACCCUAGAGAAGUCUUGUCCACGUUUUUGGUCCUUAAGGGAUCUAUAUAUAUAGGAGGCAAUUAGGGUUAUCUAACAAGGAAACCCUAAUUUGGUUGCUUAAUCCCUAAGCAACCCAUGGAGCCCUUUCCAUAAGGCCUUGGACGAUUUCAUAUGGGCUUCCCCCAUAAAAUUCGUCCACCUUAUAAUAUAAGGCAAUCCAUGGCCCAAAUUGCAAUUAUCUUAUAAUUACAAUUCCAGUCCUUUAAGUUUAAUUAAUCCCUUUUAGUCACAAAACUAAUUACUAAUUAAUUCUUGACUAAUAUUAAUUAAACAAUAUGAUUUCUCCUUUAAUAUAUUAUUCCCAUAAUAUAUUAAUAAAUCAUAUUUAAUCCUUUCUCUCCAUAAUUCAUCCUAUCAAGUUGCUUUGGUGAAGGCAACCCAAAAGGACCAUGCACCAUCGGGUCAAGUACAUACCAAAAUAGUUAUGGACUUAGACACUAAUCCAACAGUCUCCCACUUGGAUAAGUCUAACAACUAUUCUGCGUAUGACUUCAGAUCCUGAUUUGCAAUCGUAGCUUUCCAAAGCCGCUGUCAACUCUGAUCCUAUCAGAUACGCGUGUCCUUAGAUAAGGGAUCAUAUAUUCCUCCAUUCUAGAUAUCAUAUGAGAUAUGAUUUCAAAUCAUUCUCUUUGUACUAUAUCUCGAUUCCGAUUUAUGACGACUGACUAAUUGAACAAAUCAAAUUAGCCCUAGCCCGGCCAAGCAUUUACGUUUGUCAUCACAAACUCAUCGAGGGGCCCAAAAGAUAUCGCUUUUAUCCUGCCUUGGAUAAAAGGAACGGAUAAACUUUGAUACAAUGCUUGCUUGCACUCACUAACCAAAUCACACACAACAAUAUGUUUUAUAACACCAAGUUACUAGUGCGUUUACAUAUUAUCAAUGUGCAACCGAUUUGCAAGAUACAACUCACACAUCUCGGUUUCAAGAAUAUAAGAUGUUAUCGUCUCACCAAUCACUCGUGAUACAAUUCAUGGAGUGAUCCAAGUGAGCGUGGGUUUAAUCCAAUGCUCAAAUUCAUAUUCGUAAGCACUCAUGAACGUUGAUGCAAACAUUUGCUUAUGUCUUAUGCUCUUUAGACAAUCCACACACCAAUUCAUGACACUCUUCAUUCAUAUCUACUUCCAACAUAUGAACGACUGUGGCCCGUUUGAAUAAUUCGAUUAUUCUUAAUAAUACUAAUCCCAUAUGGCCUCAAACCUUUGAGUAUAAAUAAAACACCUUUUAUUUAUCACUAUAUUGAUUACUCAUUAUUUGUCGUUUCGGUUAAUCAACUUUUUACUUGAAUUAUUACACUUGUCCCAUGCUCCUAGCAUGCACACAAUGUUUACCUAUGGUUCUUACUUUGUGAAAUAGAUCUCAUUGAACACAUUUCCAAUCAUUCUCAUUUCACAACUCCAAAUCCUUUUUCAUAAGUGAAAGAAUAUCAAAUUCUUGCUUCUUAUAGAAUAUGCUAGAUUCUAACAUUCUAUGCAACUUAUCCUUGUGUAAUGUCACUGCACCAAAGUCACAAAGACUAUUGCCAAUGAUAUUACAAAGUCUUCUAUCGGAGAUUGUUACAAGACAAUUCCUUAGAUAUGAUGUCUCUCUCAAAGUACAUUCCUUUGAACAUCCUUUUGUAUAAAAGUUUCUAAUCUAGUCAUAGAUUUUCAAUAUUCAAUUCCCAAUAUGGACACGCUUCCAUAUUUUCCAUAUGACAACUCAUUCUUAUUAGAAUCUUAUCUAUUCGUAAUGAUGUCGAUAUGGUCCAUCCAAUAUGGAAACAUUUCCAUAAUUUCCAUAAGACAACUCAUUCUUAAUAGAAUCUUUUCUAUUCAUAAUAAUGUCGAUAUGGUCCAUCCAAUACCAUGCUUCCAACUACUCACAAGCGACCAAUCCUUGUCAAACUUUGGAUGUCCUUUGAUAGUUGUUUAAUUAUUUUAGUCAAAACCAAUUCUAGUCCCUUUUCCCUCUAAAUGCGCUCGACAUUUGGAAAAUUUUAGAAUGGUCAAACAUUAAAGCAUUUGCAAUCGAUCCUAUACCCGAAGCGUAUGGGACACGACGCACAAUGUUUUAUUUGCUAUGUUUUCAAAAUUCGAAUUGUGAAGAGGAAUGUCGUAAUCAUAAUCGAAAUUUUAAGAACACACUAUGUACCUUUGACUAAAUUUAUUAACAUUUCUCAACCUAAACCUUUAGAUUUGAAAAGAAGCAUAAUAUUCUCUCCCUUAAUUAUAGCAAAACAACUCUUCAACUAUUGCGACUUUGCAAAGUAUGACUCUUGUUUUCUUAUAAUUAAUAUUGCUAACCUUGCAAUACUUUCCUUAAUAAUCAUACAAUCAUAACUUUUAUGCUCCCACUAUCAUGAUGAUUAUUAUAAAACAUAACACUUAUGCUCCAACUAGCUUCGACAUGUAUUCAUAAACAUCUUAACUUUCAGAAAAAUAAUGCUUAUUGAAUUUCUUAAGUCCAUGUUUCUAAUACUUAAUGCUUUGAUAAUCUUUUGUCAAGGCUUCUUGAACUUAUACACCUUUGCCUUAGAUAGUUCAUAUGUGUGUGUAAACAAUUGCCAAACCUCACAAUUCAAAUUAUGGAAAGGGAUACGGUAACCAUAAUCGAAUUCGAGAAUGCAAUUUUACAAUCACUAUCUUCUUAAAAUCUUUCUUAGUGAAAGCAUUUCCUUGCAAUCAUUUUCAUGAAGGAGGAAAUCUUAUGACACUUAGAUUUAAACGGUGUAUGUGUUCCUAUCCAUGUGAAUUUGUCAAAACUAAAGUUUACGACAAAUUCAAGCUCAUAUGGACCGAACUUUCUUAAUCUUGAUUUCUUGCCUUAUGGUAGCACAGCUGCCCACCAUGUCUUCCAAGUAGUUAAGCAGCUCACCCUUUCCUAUCAAUGUACCUUUCAUUGAUUAAGGUGCUUUGCCUCUUAUGCGUUCAAAAUGAGAACUCAUAGAACUCACAUACGCAACUAACUCAAUUGGAAUGGCACAGAAACAAGAUAAUGUCAGUACGACAAGUUGUAAACCUCAAGUCGUGUGCUAGUGAUGAUUGAUAAGGUUUAUUUGAUUUGUUCUUGAAACCUUUCAAGACCAUUAAAACUCCCACUUACUCCUUGACAUAUAAGAUUCUCUUGUCAAAACAUUUCUUGACAAACAAAUAUUCAAGAGUUAGUGUAGUUUUUAUCAAAACACUUCAUAAAUUGGUCUUAGUUGGUCUUUGUCUUAUCCAAGACAUCACAACUUUCCACAUUUGAUGAAUGUUAUAAACCUUUAAUACUUUUCAUUCAAUGUCACAAUCUUAACAUUAAGACUUGUUAUUGGAACGAAGUAUGAUUGAUUUCUUGAUUUAACCAUUUCUUCAAUCCUUGAUUCCUCUUCUUAAACAUACAAUUGUACUAAGAAUUCACUUAGAGGAUCAAUUGAGAUAUGGUUCUUAAUCAUUAAGACCUAUCAUAAAGCAUAAAAGCUACUCUCCCUUCUUCUUAGAAUGGAGAAACUUUUAUCUUUCUGCCUUCUUGAUUCUUCUUAUCCGUUCUGCUAUUGAUCUAAACCCUUUAAUCAAUUCAGAAUUACAUUUAAUCUUGUAAGUAUAAUCAUAUUUACUAAGCUUUUAGUAAAUCAUGACGAAUAUCUUUGUUACUCUUAUGGUGAACUUGAUCAGCACACAACUUUGUGUACUCGAUCUCCUAGUCCUUCACUGACACUUUGUCAAUGAAUUAGUCUAAUUUCCAAAUAUGAAAUUUCUCAUUUAUCGUGCAACCAAGUUGCAUGAUUCCAAGUUUCUGUCCAAUUAAACCUUGGGCGAUGAGAAACUCUCCCUAUUUGGUAAAUUCUCGACUUUCCAUAAAUAACAUAAUAAGAACCAAAUCCAUUAUUGCUAAUAAUAGAAACAUUUUAACAUCAAUUUUUCAUACACGCCAUUGUAAGGAUAAAUAAAUAAAAUAAAAUCAAAAUUUAUUUUAUUGUGGAAAAUUUUUGUCCUUACAAUGCAAUUCAUUGAAAAACUAUGCUAAUACAUCUUUCUUACCAAUCUAAUUCUAACUCUAAGUAGUAGCUCAAGAAUCUAAUCUUCGAGAAAUGCGAUCGAAAUCCAUUCCUACACGGUUAGAUUUUGCUCACUUCUUCCCUUAAGCUUCCUUUCUUUUCUUCGAUCCUACAAAACAUCAAUUGUAAUCUUAUCACAUUAUGUAUUAAGAAUCUAGAAUAGAAGCUGAAAAGAGUUAGUCAAUGGAUUUUACCUAAAACAGAGCCAUACGUUUCGACUCUCCCAUCUCUUAGAUCUCUUAGGUAAAUAGGGCAGCUUCGUCUCCAAUGCUCCUUCUCUUGGCAAUAAAAGCAAAUCGACUCUUUUGGAACAGCACAUGGAACUACUUCAGACAUUGUCUUUCUCUUAUGAUCAAACUUUUCGAUCAUAGCAUGUCUUUCGUUGCAAUUGUCUAUAUCCAUAGAGGUCUUGAAGGUAGAUUCACCAAUCAACUUUGCUUUUCUAUUGCGCCAAACCAUUUCUGAUUCAGCAGCAAUAAGCAUAUAGGUGAGAUCUAUAAGGGUCACGUCGCGGUUCAUCAUAUAGUACUCUCUUACGAACUCACUAUAUGAGUUAGGAAGUGACUGAAGAACCCAAUCAACAGCUAUUUCCUCACAGACAACGGAUCCCAACAUUCUUAACCUAUCAAUGUGUGACUUCAUCCCUAGGACAUGUGCACACACUGGCUUUCCUUCUUUAUGUUUACUUGCCAAAAGGGCUUGAGUGAUCUUGAACUUUUCAAGCCUUUAAACUUGUGGGUUAGGGAGAAUAAUUGGAGGAGGUGGAGGAAGUGAAGCAUGAUUUCUUGUUCCUUGAUCGAAUUGUGGAAUAUCAUCUUCAUGUGGAAUGCUUGUUCCACGGGAUUUGAGAAGACCAUAGUUGUCAAACUUUGACAUCUACAAAACGGGAGAAAACGAAUUCAAGUUAGUUGAUUGAUUGAGUCCUUAGUAAAUCACCCAAAUGAGAUACUAAGGCUAGGACCCAACACAAUGUUCCACAACUCGGGAGAGGGAUGUCGUAACCCUAAUUGCAGAACAUUUGAAGGUAAGUGAAUGACAAUUCACUAAUUUCCACCACAAAAAACGAAAAAGAAAUUUAAGUUUUAAAUCUAUGAAAACUCCUAGACCCUUUGAGAUUAAUUGAACUUUCAAUGGCAUGUUUAAAUCUCGAUAUGCCCCUCUUGUUUGUGACUGGGAUGCUGAGGAUCACAAAGCGGGUGUGAAUAACCAUGCAAACUUACAUGGUGCCCUCACAUGUUACAGUCACCUAUUCGAUGUGCCAGUAAACCACACACGCUCCACCGAACUAUGACAAACAUUGAGUCACCCUUUGCUACCUUUGCUUAGAACCAUUUAGUGUGCCGGUAAACCACACACGCUCCACUAACGUCUUCUCAAGGGCACAAAGUGUAAUUUCAUGGAAUUGCAUCAAUUCACUUUUGCCUAAGUAACUAAAAUUGGGAAUUUUAUGAAAACAUUUAGUUACUUUUAUACUUCAUUAUACUUAUAAUGGAAGGUUUCGUCCUAUCCUACCCGUUCGGCUAACGACCCUCCACUAGUCAAGAGUGCGGUGGGUAAGAGUGGAUACUCAUUCAAUCGCCAUUUUAUAGGCAAUUUCCUUAAACACCCCUUAUAGACCAGCUUCAUGAAUGAGGCCUACUAACGGUAAGACUGACUUUUACUCAUACAUAUAUAUAAUGUUAGACUUUUAAUGUUAUAUAUAGUAUAGGGUGGAUUUUAUACUUUCAAAAUACUAGGUGGUCUAAUUUAACAAUUAUACUUUUAGUUCAAUUAAAUUGUAAGCCUAAACUUUUAUGGAUUUAUUAAACCUCUUUUAAUUAUACACCUUAAUUAAUUAAUAAAACCAUAAGGGUGUGAAUUGAACUUUUCAAACAAUACUAGGGUUUUAGAAUUUAACAUUCCUAAUUAAACUUUUAAUCAACUUUUAAAUUCCAAAACUUGAGGGUAAGUUUUGAAACAUUUCAAAAUAUUUUGGUUUAGAAUUUAAAUAUGCAACAAAAUUAAACUAUUAAUCAAAAUUUAAAUUCCAAAACUUGAGGGCAAGUUUUGAAACCUUUUUCAAAACAUUAGGGUUUCAACUAUUUAAAUUUCAAAACAACAAAACUUUUGGGUUCAAAUUUAAACUAUAAAACCUAAGGGUAAAAUAUGAAACUUUUCAUAACAACAGGGAUCAAAUAACAAAUAAUUCAAAUUACAUUUAAUCACAUAAUUAUCCAUAUUUGAUUUAUUUAAUGAUUUCUUGCAAAACAAUUUAUCAAUUUACUUAAAAUAAUUAAUCAAUUAUCACAUAAGGAAACAAUUAUCUUAUUAAUUGAUAAAUAUCUUCAAUUAGAUCAAAAUUAUAGUCAAAUAUAUCAUAUAAUCGGAUUAAUAUUGAUCUAACAUGAUUAGGUAACAAUCCAUAAGCAAAAACAGCAAGAAAUCGCAAAAUACCCUCCAUCUGACGAGUUCAACUAUGGACUCGGCGAGUCCAGCCUCCAGAAUCCAAAAAAUUGAAUUUUUCAAACACAUUAAGCAUCAAUACAAUUGAAACCAGUCAUGGCGCUAAUACCACUGAUGGGUUUUGGUCCUAAGAACAUCCUAUGUGCUCAUACAAACCCUAAUGCUUGGAUCUAGGUUUCUCUAUUGUACAUGCUUUGAAUCCAAGACUAUAAACCCUAAUUCUAGCCUACAAGUAAUCAUAUUAGAUAUUAGAAUAGGUUUAUAAUGUUACCUUGAUUGUUAUGUAGCAAUAACAAUCCCAAUUCCUCCUUGAAUUGACUUUGGAAGGCUUAGAGUCACAAGUGUCACUCCUCUAAUGGUUCACAAACACCAUAAGCAAGAGGAUGAAGAGGAGAGAGGAUGGAGGCUACCCAAAACCAUCUACAAACCCUAAAGAAGUCUUGUCCACGUUUUUGGUCCUUAAGGGAUCUAUAUAUAUAGGAGGCAAUUAGGGUUAUCUAACAAGGAAACCCUAAUUUGGUUGCUUAAUCCCUAAGCAACCCAUGGAGCCCUUUCCAUAAGGCCUUGGAUGAUUUCAUAUGGGCUUCCCCCAUAAAAUUCGUCCACCUUAUAAUAUAAGGCAAUCCAUGGCCCAAAUUGCAAUUAUCUUAUAAUUACAAUUUCAGUCCCUUAAGUUUAAUUAAUCCCUUUUAGUCACAAAACUAAUUACUAAUUAAUUAUUGACUAAUAUUAAUUAAACAAUAUGAUUUCUCCUUUAAUAUAUUAUUCCCAUAAUAUAUUAAUAAAUCAUAUUUAAUCCUUUCUCUCCAUAAUUUAUCCUAUCAAGUUACUUUGAUGAAGGCAACCCAAAAGGACCAUGCACCAUCGGGUCAAGUACAUACCAAAAUAGUUAUGGACUUAGACACUAAUCCAACAAAAAGGUUGCAACCCUCUGCUACCCCCACGAGGUUUACCUCCAAACUCUGAAACCGGAAGCUCGCUAUCUCUUUUGCUUCUCCCAGGAAACGGGGACAACGCAACUCUUGCCACAAAAGGUGAAGUCUCAUCUGUCGGUCAAUUGCUCGACUCAGACCGUGAUCCUCUAAUAAGCAUCAUCUCUACUCAUCCCUGAGUCUUGCGACUCCAACUGGUAUCUCACUAAAAAUCUCUCGGAAACUAACUCGAUUUCCCUCUCAAGGUAUGCUCCAUUGAAACUCGUUCGACAGGUCCCUCUGGCCCCACACUCUAUCACAUUUAAUCUCAGUCUAAUCAAUCACAAUGGUAUAGUUGGUAGAACCAGAAGCACUAACCGCCACAAAUCAUGGUACUCGAACCAUGUGAUCACCUCUCGAUCUGCUACGAAUCAUGGUACUCGAACCAUGUUAUCUCAUCUCAAUCUGCUACUUAGAACCUCUAGAAUUCUCCCUAUUUCGAGUACGGGUCCUCUGAUUUCAGUAGUACGGGACCAUACAACCUGCCACAUCUACCCAUACUUUCCACACGGAUCGUCCCAUAUUUCCUAAGUAGUUGCUCAACCUUCUCGAUCACCAAUCUUGUUAAACUUGGUCACUCCCCAGCGAAUACUCUCCUCUAUUAGCUUACUCAUCUGACUAAGGUCACUCCAUAGGCUCUUCCUAGGUUCUCACACUUCUCUGCCAUCAGCUGCUGAAGAACUCCUUAUGACGCCAACCAUCUACCUCCUGAAUAUCGUCAUAUCCACUUAGUAGCUAUCUCCCAUCAUUAAGGGUUCCCAAAGCACAAAGCAAGCAACAUUCUGGCAUCGAAUAAUCUCUACCAACACGUAAAACCACUCUAGGUUACAACUCCAGUUGGUCUACUCACCCUCAAAAGGUAUCACCGAACUCAAGCAACUCUACCCCUCGUGGGUAUCUAUCUACUCUCUCAACAGGCUCCUCCAAUGGUCAUCUAGGUAUCUCUCCUAGAUUACACCUCUACUCAAAGCUCUGUCCCUAAAAUAUUCCUGUUGGAUACUCUUACUCCGCACAUACUCAAAGCACAUCACAGAUAGCAAAAUUCCUAGGCUAAGGCAUCACAAAUCAGACAACUCUAGCCCUAAAAGAUGAAAUACCUAGCCUAUCUCCUAGCAUGCAUCACUAAUAUCUAAAUAAUAAAUCAUAACAAAAAUAAGUAAGGGUAUUUUGGGAAAUCACCGUUCGGGCUUUGGCUGAUUGUACACAAUACUCUUUCUCGUUUUCUCUUAGAAACUCUUGCUCGUUUUGUCCAGCAAUUCGAAAAGCUGUCAAAUUACUUGAAACACAACUGGAAAUAACAUCAAUGGAGGGACCUAUUCCUUCUAUAAUAUCUCUAUUGACAAACUUACAAGAAUUGUUACACUGUUCCUGUAGAACAUUCCAAAGAAGUCAGUGACUGUAAACAUCUGAUCAAGACCUUGAUUACGGGAAUGAAAACAAUAAUAUGGAGCAUCAUACAUGCACAUCUACACAGAUGCUGUUACCCACUUGGCCUUGCUAAUGUUCUCGUUUGUCUGUUUACAUGUUUGUAGGGGGUAGUAGGGCAGACAAUUAGAAGGAAUUGAUGGCAAAUCAAGCAUUUAAAGGGAUCCAACCAUUUGUACAUGUCUUGUUUCUUUAUAAUAAAUAUUAUGUAAUAUUAGUAAUGUAUUACAUUUACUUACUAUUGGAAUGAUUAUUUGUAUUUG